AUGCAAGUCGAACGAAGCCCUGGUGCUUGCACCAGGAUCCUUAGUGGCGGACGGGUGAGUAACGCGUGGGGACCUGCCCUGGAGUGAGGAAUAACUGCUGGAAACGGCAGCUAAUACUGCAUACGCCCCUUUCGGGGGGGAAAGGGCUUCGGCCGCUCUUGGAUGGCCCCGCGUCGGAUUAGCUUGUUGGUGAGGUAACGGCCCACCAAGGCGACGAUCCGUAGCUGGUCUGAGAGGACGAUCAGCCACACUGGGACUGAGACACGGCCCAGACUCC
rnacentral:rRNA from 2 species